rnacentral:rRNA from 1 species
AUACGGAGGAUCCGAGCGUUAUCCGGAUUUAUUGGGUUUAAAGGGAGCGUAGGUGGACAGUUAAGUCAGUUGUGAAAGUUUGCGGCUCAACCGUAAAAUUGUAGUUGAUACUGGCUGUCUUGAGUACAGUAGAGGUGGGCGGAAUUCGUGGUGUAGCGGUGAAAUGCUUAGAUAUCACGAAGAACUCCGAUUGCGAAGGCAGCUCACUGGACUGCAACUGACACUGAUGCUCGAAAGUGUGGGUAUCAAACAGGAUUAGAUACCCUGGUAGUCCACACAGUAAACGAUGAAUACUCGCUGUUUGCGAUAUACAGUAAGCGGCCAAGCGAAAGCAUUAAGUAUUCCACCUGGGGAGUACGCCGGCAACGGUGAAACUCAAAUGAAUUGACGGGG